UGGGGAAUUUUGGACAAUGGGCGCAAGCCUGAUCCAGCCAUGCCGCGUGCGGGAAGAAGGCCUUCGGGUUGUAAACCGCUUUUGUCAGGGAAGAAAUCUUCUGAGUUAAUACCUCGGGAGGAUGACGGUACCUGAAGAAUAAGCACCGGCUAACUACGUGCCAGCAGCCGCGGUAAUACGUAGGGUGCAAGCGUUAAUCGGAAUUACUGGGCGUAAAGCGUGCGCAGGCGGUUUUGUAAGACAGAGGUGAAAUCCCCGGGCUCAACCUGGGAACUGCCUUUGUGACUGCAAGGCUUGAGUGCGGCAGAGGGGGAUGGAAUUCCGCGUGUAGCAGUGAAAUGCGUAGAUAUGCGGAGGAACACCGAUGGCGAAGGCAAUCCCCUGGGCCUGCACUGACGCUCAUGCACGAAAGCGUGGGGAGCAAACAGGAUUAGAUACCCUGGUAGUCCACGCCCUAAACGAUGUCAACUGGUUGUUGGGAAGGUUCCUUCUCAGUAACGUAGCUAACGCGUGAAGUUGACCGCCGGGGGAGUACGGCCGCAAGGGUUGAAACUCAAAGGAAAUUGACGGGGUCAUAGCUGUUUCCUG
rnacentral:rRNA from 1 species